CGAUCACUCUGAGUUCAAGUAGUUUGGCUUCUUGCUUUCACCAAUCAUCAAUAAGUUCGAUCCACUAAUCACUGUCAAGACUCAUCAAUUGUUGCUUCUUCAAUCUUUACAAUCAAGAUUCUACAUUAUUGUCAUCCUGCAGUGUGAAGAUUUUCCAUUUUCUCUUCAUUAUUUCGUUCUUCUUUAAAUUAAAAAAAAAGAAAAACCAGAGGUUUCUUGCUGAACAACAUUGAAAUCUCUCCCAAAAAAGAUAUUCUGUUGUUUUAUUCUGCUGUGAAGAAUCUCUUUAUUUCUUCAUCACUUUGUUUCGCUCCAAAUUUGAAAAAGAGGAAAAAAAAAAAAGUAAAAAGGAGAUCUCUCUGUCCAACAACAUUGAAAUCUCUUUAAAAAAAAGGUUCUGGGCUUUAGUUUUUCCCGCGUGAAACGUAAAUUUCUUCAUCAAUCAGCUUUAAAAUCCCUAUAAGAACACAUUUUUGGUUGUGUUUCUUUUUAUCAAUGUUGUUGAUGACAUAAUGGGCAUUUGAUCACUUAUCUUUAAGCAUACUUGCUGUAGCAAUAACAUCUUGGAGCAUGUA